UGAGGAAUAUUGGUCAAUGGGCGCAAGCCUGAACCAGCCAUCCCGCGUGCAGGAAGACGGCGCUAUGCGUUGUAAACUGCUUUUCCAGGGAGAGAAACUUGCGCACGUGUUGCGCAAUUGACGGUACCCUGGGAAUAAGCAUCGGCUAACUCCGUGCCAGCAGCCGCGGUAAUACGGAGGAUGCAAGCGUUAUCCGGAUUCAUUGGGUUUAAAGGGUGCGUAGGCGGACUAUUAAGUCAGUGGUGAAAUCCUGCAGCUUAACUGCGGAACUGCCAUUGAUACUGAAAGCCUUGAGUUUGGUUAAGGUAGGCGGAAUGUGUAAUGUAGCGGUGAAAUGCUUAGAUAUUACACAGAACACCAAUUGCGUAGGCAGCUUACUGAGCCGACACUGACGCUGAGGCACGAAAGCGUGGGGAUCGAACAG
rnacentral:rRNA from 1 species